CACACUUAUACAUAUAUAAAAAAAUAAAUAAAUAUCAUUAAUUCAACAUUUCAUCCAAUAUUUUUUUUUUAACUAUUUUCCAUCUACAAAGACAUUUUUCGUCAAACAAGCGGCGCACCUUUAUCGACUAAUUAUUAAUGUGAAGCAGCUAAGUUAAAUGAUCUCACAUCUCAUUUUUAUCUAGAUUAAAAGGCUGCAUAAAAUCAAGUCACUCGAAUUAAUUCUUGAAUAUCUGCGAGAGUUCACAAAAAGCAAUUGUAGUCUAUACAGCUCCAGCCCUUGCUUCUUCAGCGAGAAUAGAACAAAUGCUUAUAAAUUCAAUGAGUCGCAUGUAAAUUUAUCAUCAAUUCCUAACAUUUUCAGUUUACAUAAAUGAAGAAAGAAGCACAAAUAUGUUAAACAUUUCCUUCAAGUUGUUACCUGCUGCUCAGUUGUGUCAUCAUUUUUAGCUUCUGCCUCAUCUGCAUUCUCACCUUUGAUUCAAUUCCUCUGAAUUCAUGUCAGCAGGAGCAGACCCUACAACAUUAGCUUCUUCAACAGUGUCUUUUUUCUCAGGUAGUGCUCCUCCAUUUACAGAGGCAUCCUCAACUGCAUUUCCAUUUGCCUCCUUUGACUCUGUCUCAGCUUCUUUGUUCCCAAACAACUUUGAUGGAAGCAAAGAAGAAAUAGCAGCUCUUGCACUUCGCUUGGCAGCCUCAGCUGCCUCAGCCUCCUUAGCCUUAGCUUCAGCUUUCUCCUUCUCCUUCUUCUCCAUAAGCUCCGUCAACUCCUCCUCUCUACUAUCUCUUCCCAAUUGUUCCUUGGCAAACUCCUGCAACUCGGAAUCAAACUCGAUCGCCUCAUCGUCCAACAUUGCUUCAACCAUUUUAAGCAGUUCAUCCAUCUGCCCUGCAUCUGCCAAUGCUGUCAUCAUAAACUUGUAGCUCGCAUUAUCCAUCUUAAGUUUCUUCACCAUCAAAUAAUAAAACGAUUUUGCCUCAUCAAUCUUUCCAAAACUAACCAACUUAUCAACCAAUCUAUUGUAGACUGCCAAGUUAGGCCUCAACCCUGAAUCCACCAUCUUUCUAAAGUAUGCAGCCCCGUCAUCAACUCUAUUCUCCUCAAAGCAAGAAUCCAUCAAUAGACCAUAAGUAUACUCAUCCGGUUUCACCCCCUUCCCAUCCAUUUCUCCAUAUAGCUCCUCAGCUUUAACCAACAUUCCAUUUUUGCACAACUGAUCAAUCAAGUUAUUAAAUGAUAAGACGUCUGCACUGCAUCUAUAAUCACCCAUCUUCCUGAAAACCUCAAUGGCAUCUUCAAAUCUCCCUUGUGCGCAAUAACCAUCAACCAUCACAUUGAAGCUCCCCAAAUUCACAGCCAAACGUCUAGGUGGGUUAUGUUCCUGCACCAUCCUAUCAAACAACUUCAAAGCCUCAUCAAACUUACCAUUCUUGCACAAUGCAUCCAAUACCGAAUUGUAAGCAACGGUACUCAUCUUAACCUUUGAAUUCUCCCCCACAGCCUCUUCAUAACACUCCAUAGCCUCAUUUUCCAUUCCCCUCAGGAAAUAACCCUUCAUCAAAGCCCCAUAAACCACUCCAUCAUCCACAAACCCACCCAUCUUCUCCUUCAACUCCUUAAAAAGCCUAAAAAUCCCAUCGGAAUCUGAAUUUCUCGCGCACCCUACCAUCAAAUAAUGAUAAACAAGUGGGUCUGGCAUGAACCCUUUAGUCCCCACCAUCUCCUCUUUCAACUCCAAAGCUUUCUCAACCUUUCCAUUAUCCACUAACCCUUUAAUCAAAAUCCGAUAAGUUGUCGGAGACGGAUUAAAGGGAGCAUCAUUGAUUAGCUGCUUAUAGUGCUCAAGCGCUGUAUCCGGCUUCCGGCAAUCCAGAUAAGUCUGGAAGAUUAAAUUAUGAGUAAUUAUAUUGGGUGCCACACCAGCCUGAAUAAUGAAGCGAUGAAGGGAAAGGAGAUCGGAGUAUUUGGACUGGCGGAGCUGGGCAUUAAGGACGGCGUUGACAGUGUAGAUGGUCGGUCGGCAAUUAGAGUAGAUCGAGUGGCGCGUGAAAAGCGCAGCCUCCUCAAGGUCAUUCUGGCGGAUGAGGGUCAAGAUGCGGUUAUGGAGAUCAAGGCGUUUACCGGAAACUUCAGAGAUGGGUUCGGGGACUUUGGGGGCGUUAGGGUUUUGAAUGGGUUUUGGGAUUUGUUGGGGUUGAGAUUGUUGUUGGGCGCGGUGGAGGGAGGAAAGCGGGGGUUCGAUGCGUUGGCGUCGUUUGCGGCGACGCCGUUCUGCGGCGGCUUCUUCCGGCGAGGAGAAGGAGAGGAAACGGACAGAGACGAUAGAUGACGGAGAACGGUGGUGGUGAGUAGCGAGGGCUUUGAGGUGGGCGAAGAAUGUUGGUUUAGAGAGUGCCAUGGAAGAUAAGGGUUUCAGCAAGGAACAAGAUGAGGAUAUUGAUGGAGCAGGAAAAAAUGUAGGGUUCAGG
rnacentral:misc_RNA from 1 species